UACGGGGGGAGCAAGCGUUGUUCGGAUUUACUGGGCGUAAAGGGCGCGUAGGCGGUCGUGACAAGUCACUUGUGAAAUCUCCGGGCUUAACUCGGAAAGGUCAAGUGAUACUGUCGGACUAGAGUACAGAAGGGGCAACUGGAAUUCUCGGUGUAGCGGUGAAAUGCGUAGAUAUCGAGAGGAACACCUGCGGCGAAGGCGGGUUGCUGGGCUGAUACUGACGCUGAGGCGCGAAGGCCAGGGGAGCAAACGGG
rnacentral:rRNA from 1 species